GAAAAGGAAAAUGAAAGAUUGUGUAGACUGAUAAUUGUAUUAUGGGGGUCAGCCUGAUUAGAUAUCCUGGGAGAUGGUGGACGGACCGGGUCCGUAGGGGACCCUACCGGGAUUGUGGUCUCUCAUACCGGACGGGGUAUGGAGAUCUUAUGUGUUUUGGCGCCCAUACCGGACGGGGUAUGGGGACGGCCCGUUUCACCCUCAUACGGACGGGGUAUUGAGGUUUACAGUUUUGGCGCCCAUACCGGACGGGGUAUGGGGACGGCCCGUUUCACCCUCAUACCGGACGGGGUAUUGAGGUUUAUGGUUUUAGCGCCCAUACCGGAC
rnacentral:lncRNA from 1 species